UAUCGCACAAUGGGGGAAACCCUGAUGCAGCAACGCCGCGUGAGUGAAGAAGGUCUUCGGAUUGUAAAGCUCUGUUCUUGGUGAAGAUAAUGACGGUAGCCAAGGAGAAAGCUCCGGCUAACUACGCGCCAGCAGCCGCGGUAAUACGUAGGGAGCGAGCGUUGUCCGGAUUUACUGGGUGUAAAGGGUGCGCAGGCGGCUCUGCAAGUCAGGCGUGAAAGCUAGGGGCUCAACCCCUGAACUGCGCUUGAAACUGUGGAGCUUGAGUGAAGUAGAGGCAGGCGGAAUUCCCGGUGUAGCGGUGAAAUGCGUAGAGAUCGGGAGGAACACCAGUGGCGAAGGCGGCCUGCUAGGCUUUAACUGACGCUCAGGCACGAAAGCAUGGGUAGCAAACAGG
rnacentral:rRNA from 1 species